CUUUUUGUCAUUAUAAUUACCAGUAUUACAUAUAGAGAAGUAUGAAAACGUAAUCUGCAAACCCAAUUUAGAGAGGAUAGAGCUUAAAAUGGAUCUGAUUCUCUAGCAGAACGUGUGUUUUGGCCUAAUUCAACCAGGUAGAGAGAGAAUAGCUAAUGAGGGAAUGAAAUGGGAAACAAACAUCAAGAACAACCUGGUUGCCCCAUAGAAAUAAUGAAGAAUCAAAAGCAGCAGCUACACUAUAGAGAUUUGAACACAAAAUCAAGUACACCCACACAGAAAGUUCAAGAGGUAGGUGUGUGAGACUUCUACUCAACUGAAGAGAAAAAAGAACAAGAGAAGCAUAAAUGAAUUACCAUAUUAUUUCCAAUUGAAUGACCAAGCUGGAAUCAACAUAUCAAUCACACAGCUUGAUCAACAGAAACACGAGACCAAGAAAUUUCAUGACAGAUAUUUGUUGCUUCCAUUCUAAAAGAAUAUGGUUUGAACCAAAUAAAAGGGAGUUACAUGGUUGAAUCGUCGUGGGAGAAGCAUAUGGACUCCUUGCUCUCAACUAAGACAACAGGCAUAACUUCCCCAAGUUUAUGGUCCAGUUUUCCAGAUUCUAUAACGAGUAAAUCCUGGAGAAGGAUGACGUAAUGUUCUUGAACAUCUCCUGCACUUUUUUCUCCUCCAACCAUGGCUGCAACCACUUCCCACCGUUCAGGGUGUUGCUCAUCUACCACUGCCAAAGCUAGCUCGAACAACUUGUUCUCCUCCCAACUCCAACCGCAAAAGCUGUUAGCAAAAUCUUCCAUCGCACUCACUCUGGAUGAUCCCUUCAGGGCACUUUGAAGAAAUUGAGGAUUCUCUAGUAAUUCUUUCACAUUAGGUGAUUUCAUGGUAUGUGUUCUUAGACAAAAUCUGACACCCCUUAUGAUGUCUGGGGAGUUAGAUGUUUGUAAUGACGUGCAAAAUACUUUUUUUUUUUCAGUAUUUAAAGGGGUAUCUCUUUUUUUUUUACAUAUUUUUUUUACGAGAA
rnacentral:sRNA from 1 species